GACUGCGGAGGAUCAUUAAGAGACGUUGCCCUUCGGGGUAUACCUCCCACCCUUUGUUUAUUAUACCUUUGUUGCUUUGGCAGACCCGGCUUCGGCCCACCGGCUCCGGCUGGUCAGUGUCUGCCAGAGGACCUAAAACUCUGUUUGUUAAUAUUGUCUGAGUACUAUAUAAUAGUUAAAACUUUCAACAACGGAUCUCUUGGUUCUGGCAUCGAUGAAGAACGCAGCGAGAUGCGAUAAGUAAUGUGAAUUGCAGAAUUCAGUGAAUCAUCGAAUCUUUGAACGCACAUUGCGCCCUCUGGUAUUCCGGGGGGCAUGCCUGUUCGAGCGUCAUUACAACCCUCAAGCUUUGCUUGGUAUUGGACAUUGCCAGUUUCUGGCAGGUCUUAAAAUCAGUGGCGGUGCCAUUUGGCUUCAAGCGUAGUAAUUCUUCUCGCUUUGGAGAUCCAAGUGGUUACUUGCCAAUAACCCCCAAUUUUUUCAGGUUGACCUCGGAUCAGGUAGGGAUACCCGCUGAACUUAAGCAUAUCAAUAAGCGGAGGA
rnacentral:rRNA from 1 species